CCCAUCGAGCUGCUUUAUCUCCCGGCGAUUCAAAAGGAGAUCUAGGGUUUCUCUUGGCGAUGCAAGAUCUGGCUUUCUCAAUGACACCAGAUCAGCGAAUCUCUCUCUAUACGACACCCAAUCGAUUGAGUUUGAAGGUGGUGAAGGGUUUGGAUCUGCCAAUCAGUGACGUAUGAGCAAGGGGGUGUUUGGUCUGCCAAUCGGUGAUGUAUGAGCAAGAUUUCACAAGAUCUAAAGACGGCGUGGUGUGUAGUGUUAAAUCCGACGACUACGGUUCCGGUGGUAUAAUUCUCAAGCCGAUCGGUGGCAAUAGAGACGAGUUCCGGUUUUAGAUGGUGGUUGAGGUAGGUUCCGACAAACUGAGUUGCAGAUCUAGGUUUCACCAGUUGGCGUAGGCGAUACUGCAUCAUCAAAAUGGAUGGUUUCUGAAUGGAGAUCCCUAAAGGUACUUACAUUGUUCUCAGA